rnacentral:lncRNA from 1 species
CUCUUAUACAUGUGUAAUUGACAUAAAAAUCCCCAUCUAGAGAUGGCCCACAGUCCGGGACCGAGUGAGACGGCCCACAGUCCGGGACCGAGUGAGACGGCCCACAGUCCGGGACCGAGUGAGACGGCCUACAGUCCGGAACCGAGUGAGACGGCCUACAGUCCGGAACCGAGUGAGACGGCCUACAGUCCCGGGACCGAGUGAGACGGCCUACGGUUCGGGACCGAGUGAGACGGCCUACGGUUCGGGACCGAGUGAGACGGCCUACGGUUCGGGACCGAGUGAGAUGGCCAACGGUCCGGGACCGAGUGAGACGGCCUACAGUCCAGAACCGGUGCAGCCAGAGUCGCCCUUCAGUCUGGAACCGGCGCAGCCAGAGUCGCCCUUCAGUCUGGAACCGGCGCAGCCAGAGUCGCCCUACAGUUCGGAGCUCCCAGAGUCGCCCUAAGGUCUGGAGCUCCCAGAGUCGCCCUACGGUCCGGAGCUCCCAGAGUCGCCCUACGGUCCGGAGCUCCCAGAGUCGCCCUACGGUCCGGAGCUCCCAGAGUCGCCCUACGGUCCGGAGCUCCCAGAGUCGCCCUACGGUCCGGAGCUCCCAGAGUCGCACUACAGUCCGGAGCUCCCAGAGUCCCCUUCUGAGCUCCCUUCUGCCCGAGGUCUACAGCGAAGCGCUUCUGCCGGAGGUCUACAGCGAAGCGCUUCUGCCCGAGGUCUACAGCGAAGCGCUUCUGCCCGAGGUCUACAGCGAAGCGCUUCUGCCCGAGGUCUACAGCGAAGCGCUUCUGCCCGAGGUCUACAGCGAAGCGCUUCUGCCCGAGGUCUACAGCGAAGCGCUUCUGCCCGAGGUCUACAGCGAAGCGCUUCAGCCCAAGGUAUUCAGCGGGUUAGGUGGGGGACUAAGGCCAGAGCCUGAGCCACCUCCACAGCAGGAGUAUUGGGGAGGGGGGGUGUAGCACGGGAACCGUCGGUGACGGUAGCCACCCUCCCUUCCCUGACAUUAGUUUGGGGGGUUUAUUUUUGUGUUUAAUUUUUGUGUGAGGUGCAUCCGGGGUCUGCACCUUUGGGAGGGGGGUACUGUCACGUCCUGACCAGUAAAGGGGUUAUUUGUUAUUGUAGUUUGGUCAGGACAUGGCAGGGGGGUGUUUGUUUUAUGUGGUUCGGGGUUUAUUAGGAUAUGUGUUUUAUGUAGAGGGGUGUUUGUUUAGAGUAUUCUGGAGUUUCUAGUUAUGUCUAUGU